CCCCAUCAGAUUUUUAAACUUUAAAAUUUGUUGUAAUUUCUUUUCUCAUUCUAAACAACUGUUCCUUUUUGUACGCUUAAUUCACUGUUUGUAUCUUGUGUUCUUUUUAUUGAAGGUGAUGCUAAAGAUUAUACUAGCUUUAGGCCCCACAAAGCAUGGAUCCACCCCUGUCUACCAGCAGAGCAGAUGGGGGAAAGCUACUAUGGAUGGGAAAAAUCGAGGGACAGAGAACAAGAGUCUUAUUUCAGACCACAUUCAUCACAAAGAUUCUUCCAGCCAGCAGACUCUGCUCUAUGAAAGAAGCUGCUCACAUC
rnacentral:lncRNA from 1 species